rnacentral:rRNA from 1 species
GACGAACGCUGGCGGCGUGCUUAACACAUGCAAGUCGAACGGAAAGGCCCUGCUUUUGUGGGGUGCUCGAGUGGCGAACGGGUGAGUAACACGUGAGUAACCUGCCCUUGACUUUGGGAUAACUUCAGGAAACUGGGGCUAAUACCGGAUAGGAGCUCCUGCUGCAUGGUGGGGGUUGGAACGUUUCGGCGGUUGGGGAUGGACUCGCGGCUUAUCAGCUUGUUGGUGGGGUAGUGGCCUACCAAGGCUUUGACGGGUAGCCGGCCGGAGAGGGUGACCGGCAACACGGGAACGGAGACAGGGGCCAGACGCCUACGGGAGGCAGGAGUGGGGAAUAUUGGACAAUGGGCGGAAGCCUGAUCCAGCCAUAGCGCGUGGGUGAAGAAGGCCUUCGGGUUGUAAAGACCUUUUGUUGGGAAAGAAAAGCAGCAGGUUAAUACCCCGCUGUUCUGACGGUACCCAAAGAAUAAGCACCGGCUAACUUCGUG